AUCUAGCCGAUGAGUCCCAAAUAGGACGAAACGCGCGUCCUGGAU
rnacentral:hammerhead_ribozyme from 1 species